rnacentral:tRNA from 1 species
GCAGGGGUACCCGAGCUGGCCAAAGGGGCCGGACUUAAGCUCCGGUGGUAAUACCUUCGUGGGUUCGAAUCCCACCCCCUGCACCA